rnacentral:rRNA from 1 species
GAUCAUGGCUCGGGAUGAACGCUGGCGGCACGCCUAACACAUGCAAGUCGAACGGAGUUAAGAGAGCUUGCUCUUUAAACUUAGUGGCGGACGGGUGAGUAACACGUGAGCAACCUGCCUUCAGAGAGGGAUAGCUUCUGGAAACGGAUGGUAAUACCUCAUAACAUAUUGGUACGGCAUCGUACUAAUAUCAAAGAUUUAUCGCUGAAAGAUGGGCUCGCGUCUGAUUGGCUGGUUGGUGAGGUAACGGCCCACCAAGGCAACGAUCAGUAGCCGGACUGAGAGGUUGAACGGCCACAUUGGGACUGAGACACGGCCCAGACUCCUACGGGAGGCAGCAGUGGGGAAUAUUGCACAAUGGGCGCAAGCCUGAUGCAGCGAUGCCGCGUGAGGGAAGAAGGUUUUCGGAUUGUAAACUCCUGUCUUAAAGGACGAUAAUGACGGUACUUUAGGAGGAAGCUCCGGCUAACUACGUGCCAGCAGCUGC